UACGGGGGGGGCAAGCGUUGUUCGGAAUUACUGGGCGUAAAGGGCUCGUAGGUGGCCAACUAAGUCAGACGUGAAAUCCCUCGGCUUAACCGGGGAACUGCGUCUGAUACUGGAUGGCUUGAGUUCGGGAGAGGGAUGCGGAAUUCCAGGUGUAGCGGCGAAAUGCGUAGAUAUCUGGAGGAACACCGGUGGCGAAGGCGGCAUCCUGGACCGACACUGACACUGAGGAGCGAAAGCCAGGGGAGCAAACGGG
rnacentral:rRNA from 1 species